rnacentral:rRNA from 1 species
CUGGCCUCUUGGGGCAUGUGCACACCUGGAUUCAUUCAUCUUUAUACACUUGUGCACUUAAUGUAGGGAACUCUUAAUUGAGUCUCUAUGUCUUUCUAUAUACCCUUUCAAAAGUUUUAGAAUGUCUUAUAUCGUUUGCUGUAAAACGCAGACAUGAAAAAUACAACUUUCAACAACGGAUCUCUUGGUUCUCGCAUCGAUGAAGAACGCAGCGAAAUGCGAUAAGUAAUGUGAAUUGCAGAUUUCAGUGAAUCAUCGAAUCUUUGAACGCACCUUGCGCUCCUUGGUAUUCCGAGGAGCAUGCCUGUUUGAGUGUCAUUAAAUUCUCAACCCACUUGGAUUUUAUUAUUCAACAGUGUGGAUUGGACUUGGAGGUUCUGCUGGCCAGAGUUCAGCUCCUCUUGAAAUAUAUUAGCGAAGUUGCGCCUUGUUUUUGUGGUCGGUGUGAUAAUUUAUCAACACCCAACCCUAGAAUAGGGUUUCGCUUCUAAUCGUCUUUGGACAAUCUUUGACCUUUGACCUCAAAUCAGGUAGGACUACCCGCUGAACUUAAGCAUAUCAA